CGCGGCCCCUUCCGCGUUCCCGCCCCGCCCCUCGUCGGCCCGCGCAGCCGCAGUGGGGCGCGCCGGCUCGGGCUGCGGGAAAAGGGGACGGUCCUUCCCCGCCAGAGGAGACAGCUCGCCGCUCUGACGCCCUGUUCUCGCUGGAGCCCGGCCGGCUGCCUUUCCUCUCCAAAGUAGAAGCGGCCGCGUCAAAGAAUGCUUUACAUUCGGCGCUUCCUUGAGAGUUGCCCGUGUCAAUGGAAACUGAUGCAGUGAAACUGAUUCUAACAGGAAACUAGAGCCCUUUAAAUGCAGGCGAGCUGAGUGCUGAAACCUGAGCUGCCUGCAGGGAAGGGCAGCAGAAGCUCUGGCUGGAACAGCAGCUGUGACCUCAGAGUCCCCUGACCUUCCUGACUCCAGGAUUCCAGGCUGAAUUCCAUCCUCACUCUGCCGCUCCUUCAAACAGGCACCCGCCCCAUCACUUCAUUUGCAACAUUUGGGGCACAAGCCACAGGGCGCUGGCUGACCCCGAAGCGCUGUAUGAAGGAGAGAGUGAAUCCAGGUGCCUCGUGGGGGAGGCUGAGUCUCUGCCCAGGGGGAUGGAGAACGGGUUUGCUCGAGCUACCCCGGGGCAUGCUUCCCCUCAUCCCUUCGGUAAGAACGCUACCCAGCAAAAGAAGAGAACCCCAGGAACUGCCUGUGUUCUGAGACUCAGCUCCUGGAACUGGAAGGUUCCUGUUGUCUUUGAGGAAACCACAAAUGUUCUAGUGUCCUGAGCAGCUCUUAGUAGCUGUCAUUUCAGAGAAAAAAUGGCCCCCGUCCCCUCUC